AGUCACCGAAUCAACGAUCUGAGGCCACCACGAUGUUCCUGGCGGAGUUCUCUUCAAGUCUGCUGGAGCGGAUCAUUGGGGAAACGAAGUUGGAAUUCAUCCCAAAUUUAUGGGUAUUGAGUGGAGAACCCUGGGGGUGUAGGACUUGUUACAGUAAAGGGAUUUUAGCAAGAGUCAGGAGACCCUGAGUGACCGACGGGUCGUGGCCGCCGUGGAGUCAGUUAUUACCCUGUUAGGAGGGUAAGAUUUUGUAUUAGGAACAGGAGUAUUUUGUGUUUGAUCCUAGAGUUAUUUUGAUAUUUUGGGGAAUGUAUAUAAAUACAGUAUCAUGAUGGUUGUAGUAAACUCUGGUAUUAUGCUUGAUGGAUGGAUGAUUUAAAUUUUAU